CAAAGAACUCAGAAGGGUAGUGUCUAAAAUUUAUCUCUCCAAGCGACUUCAUACAAAUUAUGCCAUUGGAUUAUCCGCCUAAACAAGAGGAGCCAUUGACUUACUGAUUGAUUUCUACAAGAAGGAAUUUAUCAAUAUGGGUGGCUAUCUUACUAAUUCUUGCCAGGUUUUGGAUAUUGAAGUUCACUAGAAGCAAAUUUUUGACGACAUACAGAUUAACCAUCAUUUUACUGGGAGUUUCAAGAAAAUUUUACAUUACAAUCGAGGGAUAUUAGUAAUAUAUAAUUUUUUGCUAAAUAUUUAUGAACACAACAUUGUGACUAGCUUACAUCAAUUAUGUAC